rnacentral:sRNA from 1 species
GCUGGGUGCGGUGGUGCCCACCUGUCAUCCCAGGCAGGGGAGGCUGAGGCAGGAGGAUGGAUUUCAAAGCCAGCCUCAGCCACAGUGAGGCCCUAAGCAACUCAGUGAGACCCUGUCUCUC